AUUGAACGCUGGCGGCAUGCUUUACACAUGCAAGUCGAACGGCAGCGCGGGCUUCGGCCUGGCGGCGAGUGGCGAACGGGUGAGUAAUACAUCGGAACGUGCCCAGUAGUGGGGGAUAGCUCGGCGAAAGCCGGAUUAAUACCGCAUACGACCUGAGGGUGAAAGCGGGGGAUCUUCGGACCUCGCGCUAUUGGAGCGGCCGAUGGCAGAUUAGCUAGUUGGUGGGGUAAAGGCCUACCAAGGCGACGAUCUGUAGCUGGUCUGAGAGGACGACCAGCCACACUGGGACUGAGACACGGCCCAGACUCCUACGGGAGGCAGCAGUGGGGAAUUUUGGACAAUGGGCGAAAGCCUGAUCCAGCAAUGCCGCGUGUGUGAUGAAGGCCUUCGGGUUGUAAAGCACUUUUGGCGGGAACGAAAGGGACUGUGCCAAUACCACGGUUC
rnacentral:rRNA from 1 species